rnacentral:rRNA from 1 species
CGUGGGUGAUCUGCCCUGCACUUCGGGAUAAGCUUGGGAAACUGGGUCUAAUACCGGAUAGGACCACGGUCUGCAUGGAUUGUGGUGGAAAGCUUUUGCGGUGUGGGAUGGGCCCGCGGCCUAUCAGCUUGUUGGUGGGGUGAUGGCCUACCAAGGCGACGACGGGUAGCCGGCCUGAGAGGGUGUCCGGCCACACUGGGACUGAGAUACGGCCCAGACUCCUACGGGAGGCAGCAGUGGGGAAUAUUGCACAAUGGGCGCAAGCCUGAUGCAGCGACGCCGCGUGGGGGAUGACGGCCUUCGGGUUGUAAACCUCUUUCAGCAGGGACGAAGGGUGACUGACGGUACCUGUAGAAGAAGCACCGGCCAACUACGUGCCAGCAGCCGCGGUAAUACGUAGGGUGCGAGCGUUGUCCGGAAUUACUGGGCGUAAAGAGCUCGUAGGUGGUUUGUCGCGUUGUUCGUGAAAACUCACAGCUUAACUGUGGGCGUGCGGGCGAUACGGGCAGACUGGAGUACUGCAGGG